GGUUACUUAGUCAGUAGGGUCAAGGUCCAACUUCUUGUCCACUAGGCAGCUGAGAGCAGCAGUAGGGGAAGAAAGGGGAAAGAGAUGAGAAGAAUGUGAGGAGAGGAAGGGUUGAGCUGCUGAUGAGGAAAGGAAACAGGUGAAGGAGGAGAUGAAGAAAGAAGUAGGUCUUGAAGGGGAAAAUAUAUAAGUGGGGAGGAAGAAGAUGAGAUGGAGAGAAGAUGAAGGAGAGACAGGCUUCUAAGGAUGAGAGAAAAGAAGGAAGAAGAGGGAAAGGGAAUGAUGGAGAUAAGAAGGAUAUAGGAGAAAAAUAUGUGGAGAAGGAAGAGGGGUAAGAGGUGAGGAAGAGAAGGAAGGGGAGGGGAGGGGAGAGGGAAGAAUGACACAGAGAUAAAAGAGGAGGGAGUGCCAGUCUUGAGGUAUAGAAACCACAUAAGUUUCAGAAUACAGUGGCUCCUUAUCCACCAUCAUCCCUGUGAUAGCAGCUGAGACAGUCUUUGCAAAGGGCUUUGCAAAUUUCAAUCCAGAGGAUACAAAUAGAACAGUAGCUUGAGAAGUCCCAGCCUGACCCUGUUGGGCAUAUGCCAUUCUCUAGGUCCAUUCUUGAGCAAUUCAUUAUGGACACACUCAGAGAGGACUGCUAAUCCUGCAGAUUGAAGGACAUGUCUGCAGUUAGGAGCACUUUCAGGUCUGCUACAUCACUGCUCGGCAUAGGAAGAACCCUCUAACCUUAGCCCCCUAGAAACCAGAAAAGUUUGACCUGCCAUUUGGCUAUUGCUUUGUACUAACUGAUUAUCAUCUAUCUGACUCGAGCCUUUCAGGACAUUUUCAAACCUGGAUAAAGGUGUGUAGAGCUUGAACAAAGAUCUCUUUCCAGUAAAGGAAGAAUUAACCUAUGUCUGAAGAAUAUUGUGUAAUAUACUUGUGUAUGCACUCACACAUAUAUCUGCACACACAUGUGUGUACAUGUGAAAUAAUUCUACAGAAUUUCAGAUAUUUGUAUAUUUUUCAGGCAUGUUAUUACAUUGUUGUGGCUUAUGAUAUAUAAUAUCGUAAGUUAUUAAUACUGGCAUCCUAGUUUCAUAGAGGUUAAGAAACAUGAAAUUGUGACUUGUGUAAGUUCACACAAAUCUUGAAUGACACAAGUAAGAUCAACAUCUAGUUUUCUCAUCUAAUACAAUAUUUCAUAUUCUUUCUAUUAUUUGGUUCUGACUCUAAGUUAAACAAGAUGGAAAAAUGGGAGCAGGUAGGCUGCUAAUUAAAGCUUCUCUCUUCUUUCCUAUAAUGCAUUAUAGGCUACUUUAUCUGGCUUGUUUCUUAGAUCAGUCACUCUAAUUAGAGAUUAUACGUCCUCAGUGUUUACAUUGUAGAACCAGGAUUUUAACCAAGAUCUUCAGGACUUCCUGGAUAUAAUCUGUUCAUGACUCUGGGAGAGGAGUCCCUGGGAAUUCAUAUGCUUUGCCAACAAGGAGACCUGGCUUUGAACUCUAGAUCUAGUGUCAGCUCUGCUAACUGGCACAAGGUCCCAGGAACCUCAGUUUCUCAGCUGUCACAGUGACCCAACAAGAACCAUCUUGUUUAUGUUUGUAAAGGUGAAGGAAGGGUUAAAGGUGGGUCUCCAGCACAGAUUCAGACACAGUGGUCACUAAGUAACAUCUGCAGAAAAUCUAUAGAUUUUUCUGUUUACAUUUUGGCUGUCCUCUCUUUACAUUGCUAAGGUGGGUAUGAUUUGCCAAGUUUCACUUAGACCUAAUGGCCCAUUUAGAUCAAGUUACUGUCUGUAAAAACAGUUGACACCCAAAAGAGCAAUUUCGAGGAAAAAACUAAUACCCAAAGGGAUAAGUGAGAUUCCCCGAGGGCAAACAGUUUCUACAAUUCUCAUUCUUGAUUCUUCUGUCUAAACCAUACCUGACUUUUGCCAUGUUAUUGCUGCACAGAAGACCAGGGCAUAUAGCCUCUUAUGCUGCUUCCUGUCCUGCUCUCAGGAGAGUGUGAGUCAUGUCUCCCC
rnacentral:lncRNA from 1 species